rnacentral:lncRNA from 1 species
GAGACGCCUAACUAGGUUACGUGAUAUACGAACAUCAAAUGGAAAGAGAAGUGUAAGAUGCCUCACCUUGCUAUCCUGCAAAGUGACGAGUCGAGGACGGUCCUUGUGAGCCUCUCCUGCAAGAAAAGAAACAUUGUACUGUUAAGUCGAAAUUUCGGCAGCACCUCCCCUGCACGGGGAGGUUUUUCCAAAACCUGAAACAAAAAAAUGGCACGAUGGCCGACAACCACAUUCUCACCAAAGUGACGGCACGAUGGCCGACAACCACAUUUAUUGCAAGUGUUUGGUACAAUAGCAUUAUAUCGACAUGGAUUUUAACUUACAAAGUCCUUUUCUAAUUCAUCUCUAAAAGAAAAUCAUUUUCUAAUUCAUCUCUAAAAUUAAAGUCCUUACAAUACCACCUCUCUAUCUUCUCUAAAAGAAAGUCAUUUUCUAAUUCAUCUCUAAAAGCAAAG